rnacentral:rRNA from 1 species
GCAAGUCGAACGAGAAAGUGAUCUUCGGAUCGCGAGUAGAGUGGCGCACGGGUUAGUUACACGUGGAUAACCUGCCCUAUGAUCUGGGAUAACAUUUCGAAAGGGAUGCUAAUAACGGAUAAGCCUACGACUUCUUCGGAAGAUGUAGGAAAAGAUUUAUCGUCAUAGGAUGGGUCCGCGGUCCAUUAGCUAGUUGGUGGGGUAAUGGCCUACCAAGGCUGCGAUGGAUAGCUGGUCUGAGAGGAUGAGC